rnacentral:rRNA from 1 species
GACAGAGGGUGCGAACGUUGUUCGGAAUUAUUGGGCGUAAAGGGCGCGUAGGCGGCCUUGCAAGUGGAAGGUGAAAUCCCUCGGCUUAACCGAGGAACUGCCUUCCAGACUGCUAGGCUUGAGACCGGGAGAGGUGAGUGGAAUUCCCAGUGUAGCGGUGAAAUGCGUAGAGAUGUGGAGGAACACCGAUGGCGAAGGCAGCCCCCUGGGUCAAGAUUGACGCUCAUGCACGAAAGCGUGGGGAGCAAACAGG